UGUCACAGCCACCGGCCUGGCCCGGCCCGUUACGGCCACGGUCAGGGACGGGCCGCGCCCUGGGCGCGGUGACCCAGCCCUGCACAGGCCUCUCCACAGCGUCCCUGGCAACCCCCCCCGCGCUCUUCUCCCCGCCCUGCGCGGGGCGCCCGGUCGCUGCCCGCGCGGCUCCCGGGGCCAGGUCCUCGGCAGGAAGCGCAUGCCGGGGCUGCGAAUGAGAGGGAGGGUUUUAACCCCCGGCCGGUCAGCUUUGAGUUGAGCCAGUGGCUUAAUUUCCCGCCAGUUCUUCCGGCACCGCAGGAGCCUUGCCCCAGUUCCCAGAGCGUGUGACUUCAUGAGAAUCUUAGCUUUGGUUUAAAACAAAUUGUAAGUUUCUCAUCCUUGUGGUUGCAGGGAAAAGCUUGGAAAAUGUGAGCAACUCCAUCUCCAAAGGACAACAUGCGGCUCAUGAACUCAGGAAGACACAGCCCUGCCCUGCCCAGAAGAACUCAGUCUAAGAACAGGAGACAGAGCAGUUAUUUGAGGUUGUACAGUCUCCUGAUUUCCUCCUGUAGAUCUUGAAUAGGAUAGGUGAGAGCAUGGUGCCUCUGGAGCCCCACAGGUGAAUGAUCUGGUGAAGACCAGUGCUUCAUCUCUCUGACCGCAGGCUGCAAAGAAGAAUCGGUAGAAUCGUAGAGCAUUCUCUUCCAGGCCUGUAUUAGUGCGGUACACUGCAGCUGACAGUACUAGGUGCCACAGAGGGACUGAGGGUCAUGCAAAUAGGCACCCUUGCCUUGUGUGGGGAUAGGAGGAGGUCACUGAUGCCAUUUCUGCUCUAUGAUCUGGCUGGGAGCUGAACUGGGAAGAUUGCUGUAUAUUGGGGAUGGACAGGUGAAAUUGGAGAUGUCUCUUCUCUUUCCUGGCCUUCCAGAUUUCCUCCUUCCAAGUGCUCUGCCUCCCUUCACUUCAGACUGAGCCCUUGCAAGAUGCCCAGUGCCCACAGGGACAUGCUUCAACCAAGCUGGAGGCUGAUGGCUGGCACUGAGCUAUACUGAUGUGCUGUUGCCAGCAUUCCCCACUGGCAGCACAUUAUAAAUCCUGACCCACCCUGGUUUUGAAUGAUUGGCAGUUACCCAAUGUUCCCAACGUCACUCUUGGUACGGUCCAUUAAAUCUGUGUUCCCCCAUGCUGAUUGUGAGUUCUCCCUUGCAGUAUGGGCGUUUAUUAACAGCGGCUGGUCUCUCUUCUCUGUGCCCCCAUGUCUCAGAGGGUUCGAUUGGUCCCUAAUAGCUCAUGUUCUCUCUCUAAAGCAGUUAUUCCCGGAAGUGAGUGUGCAUGCACAUGGUGAAGGAGUGCAGGCGAGGCACAUGCGCAGGAAGGGAUGGUAGGAAGGUCAAGGCAUUUGGCAACCUAGGUCUUGGCCUGCCAAAGCUGUGCUCUGUGGAAACCAAACCUAUCAAGCAAAUUGCUCUCAGGAAAGGGAAGAGUACGGUCAGCCUGAAAACCAGCUGUGUGUAGCUAUGGUGCAUCACAUUGUUGCCAGCUGUCACUUGUUAGAAUGACAGGUGCUUUUACUCUCAGUCUUUAAGGGGAUACAUCUUUAUUUGAAGUACCCACAGCAGUGGGCAGAGGGGGGUGACAGCUAAUUUUGGUGUAGUCUUUUGCAAACUGGUGUUCUUUUAAAGAAAGCAGAAGUUUCAUGGACUGACAGCUACAGUGCUGGUGGGUUGGUUUCUUGGCUGGGUGUGUGACCACUAGGUGUCACUGCAGGCUUGUGUACAAACAAAAAGCCACCGAAUAAUUUCCACAUAUUGUUCAUUUGCUGCAGUUGUAAUUUAGUCUUCUAGGGCCAUUUAUCAUAAAGCCGUCUGCUCUCUUAUUCCAUGGCUGAAGGCUGCAAGAGUAUGUCUCACUAUGCUCCUGGGAGAAUCAAAGUACUGGAGUUGAUUUCACUAAAAGCUGUCACAGCACAUUAUUGGAGCACAUUUUAUUAAAGUUCAUUUUCCAGACUUAAAUUUAACAGCGUUCUAGACCACUGUCAUUUACCAUACACUGGAACAGUCAUUUCUCUAUCAAAGUCAGUUAUUGAAUUCUAAAAGUUUUCAAACAUAUUUUUGAAAGAGAUACAGUAUGUGACUUGAAAGAAAAACAGGAGGACAAGAUGCUAGAGCAGUAAAAUGCUCCAGUGUCUUUCAUACAGUGAGAUGCUGGAAUCUGGGACACAAGACAGCAACAGUGAGACUACAAAUAACGGAAUAUGAAAAAGGCAGAUUCCACAGGUGAAAUUACACAAAUACCAAUCGGAGCAUGUUAAUUGCACAUUACUCCAGUGGGCACCUGCGAAAUAUGGUGGAAAAAAAUCUCCUUCCUCCUUCCUAUAAUGUGGUAUGAAAAUAUUCCAAACAAAAGAGCUUCCUAUCUUUCUACCUGCUAAGGCCAGAGUGUGUCCAAGACCAAGAACGAGACUAACAGAGGAGUUUGCAGUGGUGUUGUAGCUGUGUCGGUCCCAGGAUAUUAGAGACAAAGUGGGUGAGGUAAUAUCUUUUAUUGGACCAACCUCUGUUGGUGAGAGAGAUGAGCUUUCAAGCUCCAGAGAGCUCUUACUCAUUGCUAAAGAUAUUCCUCGCCCACCUUGUCUCACUAACAGAGGAGGAAGCUGUCAAUGAUGUUGAAUCAUUCCUUUAAGGUGUGAUGAUCGGAGAGCAGAACUGUUUAGGAUGGAGGAAUAGGUGGUUCUAAAAUGAGUCUUGCUUGUAACAGACUCCAUCCUGUGUAGUGCUAAGACCCUGGACUUCUAUUAUAAUAGCAGCUCAUCACCAUGCAGAAGGCACUUACAGGAUCAGGCCCGCUAUAUAACAUUUGAGAGGCAAAUGGAUCCUGUAUUGUAGUAGCUGAGGUGAAGUAGCGCUGGAACUUUGCAUCAUUUCUGAACUCCUGUCAGUCCUCAUCCCCUGACUGCUUUGCCUUUUAAUCAUGUUAGACACUCGGGAACCAAACUGCCAAUUUACCCUAUGGCCUGGUCUACGCUACAAGUUUAGGUCGAAUUUAGCAGCGUUACCUCGAU